UACUUGUUGCAUAUUAUCAAGUACGUUAAUUUUUUAUUGGUGAAUGAUGUUAUUUGUAUUUUUUUUUUGUGUUCAACAAGUAUGGUGUUUUUUUUUCAAUUAUUAAGUUUAUGUAAUUUUGAAUUUUGGUACAUUUACUAUGCUUGCAUUUUAUACUUACAUAUUUUUUGUUUACAUUUUAUGCUUUUUUAUUAAUAUUCUUUUUGGUUUGAUAUUGUGUUUACUAUUGCUUUUAUUUUGUUAUCAAUACUUAUUGCUUCGUAUGUAAUUU
rnacentral:lncRNA from 1 species